rnacentral:rRNA from 1 species
UACAGAGGGGGCAAGCGUUGUUCGGAAUUACUGGGCGUAAAGGGCGCGUAGGCGGCCUGUUAAGUCGAACGUGAAAUCCCCGGGCUCAACCCGGGAACUGCGUCCGAUACUGGCAGGCUUGAAUCCGGGAGAGGGAUGUGGAAUUCCAGGUGUAGCGGUGAAAUGCGUAGAUAUCUGGAGGAACACCGGUGGCGGAAGGCGACAUCCUGGACCGGU